rnacentral:tRNA from 1 species
GCCGGAGUGGUGAAACUGGUAGACGCAGGGGACUCAAAAUCCCCCGAUGGCAACAUCGUGCCGGUUCGAGUCCGGCCUCCGGCACCA